GUUGAACCUUGGUCUCCCAUACCCUGGGUCAUAUCCAGUGAAGAGCUUGCUUUCCCCAGGCAGAGUUUCAGCACAAGGAAAGACUAGAGACCCAGAGGUUUGGCAAACCCACACAGGACAGC